AUUGAACGCUGGCGGCAUGCUUCACACAUGCAAGUCGAACGGCAGCGCGGGCUUCGGCCUGGCGGCGAGUGGCGAACGGGUGAGUAAUACAUCGGAACGUGCCCAGUCGUGGGGGAUAGCUCGGCGAAAGCCGGAUUAAUACCGCAUACGACCUGAGGGUGAAAGCGGGGGAUCUUCGGACCUCGCGCUAUUGGAGCGGCCGAUGGCAGAUUAGCUAGUUGGUGGGGUAAAGGCCUACCAAGGCGACGAUCUGUAGCUGGUCUGAGAGGACGACCAGCCACACUGGGACUGAGACACGGCCCAGACUCCUACGGGAGGCAGCAGUGGGGAAUUUUGGACAAUGGGCGAAAGCCUGAUCCAGCAAUGCCGCGUGUGUGAUGAAGGCCUUCGGGUUGUAAAGCACUUUUGGCGGGAACGAAAAGGACUGUGCCAAUACCACGGUUCGAUGACGGUACCCGCAGAAUAAGCACCGGCUAACUACGUG
rnacentral:rRNA from 1 species